GACAAGUGGACCCAGCUUCCUUGGAACAGAGGAAACGGACAACAUAAAUGCUCUCGACCUGCUCUGCCAGAUGGAUGCCUACAUAACCUUAAUGGAGAGACUUAUGACGAUCCUCAUGCAGCACCACGUGAAAAAUGUCAGGAGCCAGCAGUACAGGAAGACGGCGCACGGCACAGGGGGCAGGAAGAGUCCCUCCACAGACUCCUGAGGGAGCUGGCAGAGGUGACUGCCAAGCCGCUCUCGGCCAUCUACCAGCGCUCCUGAUUAACUGGAGAGGUCAACAAGGCCAAGUGGCGGGUCCUGCACUUUGGCCACAACAAGCCCAUGCAGCGCUAUAGGCUUGGGGAUGAGUGGCUGGAGGACUGUGAAGAGGAAAGGGUCCUGGGGGUGCUGGCUGAUGAAAGGCUCAACACGAGCUGGCAAUGUGCACUUGCAGCCCCCACGGCCAAGCGUUUCCUGUGCUGCAUCAAGACAAACGUGACUAGCAGGUCAGGGGAAGUGUCCACAGCACAAGAAAGACAGCGAGCUGUUGCAGCAGGUCCUCUGAUGCUGAGCACCAUGCCUCCAGGUGGCUGUGCUGACCGGGCCUUUCUCAAUGCCCCAUUCGGCUCUGGAACAAGGUCAGCAAGGCUGUUGUUCCAGAUGGCCCAAAGCAGCAACCCUCAGGCACCAAGUGGAAAGCCUUCAGCUUUGCAAAAUCCCCACUGUGGCGGUGACACUUGGAGAGGGACAACAACAGUGACAGCUCAUCAGGCGGAUGCAGUCCUGCACCGGGUCUUCAUGGGGGGUCCCAUGAACAUAUUGAGGCAGAGUUGCUGUUGUGAGACAAUGGAACCCCCUGAAAAGGAUGAACGUUCACAGCGAAAAAGACUUAGCCUUCAUCCAAC
ensembl:lncRNA